rnacentral:rRNA from 1 species
GAUGAACGCUGGCGGCGUGCCUAAUACAUGCAAGUCGAGCGAACAGACGAGGAGCUUGCUCCUCUGACGUUAGCGGCGGACGGGUGAGUAACACGUGGAUAACCUACCUAUAAGACUGGGAUAACUUCGGGAAACCGGAGCUAAUACCGGAUAAUAUAUUGAACCGCAUGGUUCAAUAGUGAAAGACGGUUUUGCUGUCACUUAUAGAUGGAUCCGCGCCGCAUUAGCUAGUUGGUAAGGUAACGGCUUACCAAGGCAACGAUGCGUAGCCGACCUGAGAGGGUGAUCGGCCACACUGGAACUGAGACACGGUCCAGACUCCUACGGGAGGCAGCAGUAGGGAAUCUUCCGCAGUGGGCGAAAGCCUGACGGAGCAACGCCGCGUGAGUGAUGAAGGUCUUCGGAUCGUAAAACUCUGUUAUUAGGGAAGAACAAAUGUGUAAGUAACUAUGCACGUCUGGACGGUACCUAAUCAGAAAGCCACGGCGAACUACGU